AAAUUGAAGAGUUUGAUCAUGGCUCAGAUUGAACGCUGGCGGCAGGCCUAACACAUGCAAGUCGAACGGUAACAGGAAGCAGCUUGCUGCUUCGCUGACGAGUGGCGGACGGGUGAGUAAUGUCUGGGAAACUGCCUGAUGGAGGGGGAUAACUACUGGAAACGGUGGCUAAUACCGCAUAACGUCGCAAGACCAAAGAGGGGGACCUUCGGGCCUCUUGCCAUCAGAUGUGCCCAGAUGGGAUUAGCUUGUUGGUGAGGUAACGGCUCACCAAGGCGACGAUCCCUAGCUGGUCUGAGAGGAUGACCAGCCACACUGGAACUGAGACACGGUCCAGACUCCUACGGGAGGCAGCAGUGGGGAAUAUUGCACAAUGGGCGCAAGCCUGAUGCAGCCAUGCCGCGUGUAUGAAGAAGGCCUUCGGGUUGUAAAGUACUUUCAGCGGGGAGGAAGGUGUUGUGGUUAAUAACCACAGCAAUUGACGUUACCCGCAGAAGAAGCACCGGCUAACUCCGUGCCAGCAGCCGCGGUAAUACGGAGGGUGCAAGCGUUAAUCGGAAUUACUGGGCGUAAAGCGCACGCAGGCGGUCUGUCAAGUCGGAUGUGAAAUCCCCGGGCUCAACCUGGGAACUGCAUUCGAAACUGGCAGGCUUGAGUCUUGUAGAGGGGGGUAGAAUUCCAGGUGUAGCGGUGAAAUGCGUAGAGAUCUGGAGGAAUACCGGUGGCGAAGGCGGCCCCCUGGACAAAGACUGACGCUCAGGUGCGAAAGCGUGGGGAGCAAACAGGAUUAGAUACCCUGGUAGUCCACGCCGUAAACGAUGUCUACUUGGAGGUUGUGCCCUUGAGGCGUGGCUUCCGGAGCUAACGCGUUAAGUAGACCGCCUGGGGAGUACGGCCGCAAGGUUAAAACUCAAAUGAAUUGACGGGGGCCCGCACAAGCGGUGGAGCAUGUGGUUUAAUUCGAUGCAACGCGAAGAACCUUACCUGGUCUUGACAUCCACAGAAGAAUCCAGAGAUGGAUUUGUGCCUUCGGGAACCGUGAGACAGGUGCUGCAUGGCUGUCGUCAGCUCGUGUUGUGAAAUGUUGGGUUAAGUCCCGCAACGAGCGCAACCCUUAUCCUUUGUUGCCAGCGGUCCGGCCGGGAACUCAAAGGAGACUGCCAGUGAUAAACUGGAGGAAGGUGGGGAUGACGUCAAGUCAUCAUGGCCCUUACGACCAGGGCUACACACGUGCUACAAUGGCGCAUACAAAGAGAAGCGACCUCGCGAGAGCAAGCGGACCUCAUAAAGUGCGUCGUAGUCCGGAUUGGAGUCUGCAACUCGACUCCAUGAAGUCGGAAUCGCUAGUAAUCGUGGAUCAGAAUGCCACGGUGAAUACGUUCCCGGGCCUUGUACACACCGCCCGUCACACCAUGGGAGUGGGUUGCAAAAGAAGUAGGUAGCUUAACCUUCGGGAGGGCGCUUACCACUUUGUGAUUCAUGACUGGGGUGAAGUCGUAACAAGGUAACCGUAGGGGAACCUGCGGUUGGAUCACCUCCUUACCUUAAAGAAGC
rnacentral:rRNA from 1 species